UUUACUGAACCCCACUUAUAAGAAGACUGUAUUGUUAUAACUUUUGACCAUCUGUUUGGUAAAUAUUUUCAUGACAUUUUUCUCUUGUUCUACUUAACAGAGGGGGGAGGGGGGAGCAGGACUGUUUUUAUGGACGUCAUGAUUGGGUGUUUUUAAGCUUGAGAUUUCGUGAUUGAUCCUGUCGUGAUCCAGGAAUUCUUUUUCAGAGUUUUGGGAUGUCAGGAUUUAAAUUUCUUUAAAUUCUGGACCUCCGGAUUUCAUGUUUUUAAUCCUGGGAUUUCUGAAUCAGGACCCCUUUUAACACUUUAUUUUUGGCCAGUAACUUGACAGUGAUUAUUGGAAAGUGAAAGUGAUUUGAGUCCUCUGUCGAACAUCCACGUCAUUUGUUUAUAUAUCUUAACUUACAUGUACGAAUAAGAAUAAGCUUACAACAGCAAUAAGAGAAAUCCAGCCUUAAUUUUUUUAUUUGAAAUUUAUACUUUCAUUCUAAUUCAGAUAUAAUCCAAUUUACAAUUCUAAGACUGAAUGGAUUAAGAGUGACCUUAGUUGAACGACUGCUUUAUAUAAGCUUUUGCAUAACAUUUGCUAUUGAUCUGUGUGAUCAAAUUGUUUUGUUGUAAAGCUAGACUGUUAAGAGAAAUUUUCAAUUCAGUGUUAGAGAGAAAAGUGGUAAUUGCAUGACUUGCAAGGGUGUUAUUAUGUGUGUUGACUAUUUCAUUUAUAUUUGUUAGAAUGCUGUUGAUGCAGACUGUAUGUUAUGAACUGUUAGAUUUGAUGUAAAGGAACUGAAAAUUGUCCUAAAUUUUGAUAAUAUGUAGCUGAAAAGUGACAACCUAAGCCCUCCAUAGAUAUCGAAGACGACAUUAUUGUGGGAAACCCUUCUAACACAACCCUCAUGCUUAUUGACAAUAUCUAUGAAACAAUGCAAUAUAAACCACACUUGUCCUUUAUUCCAAAUGUCAUUUUAUUUAACACUUAUAUUGUGCAGAUACAUGUUUUGUUAAGACUCGAACUAAUAGACAUUGUAUGAGAAGUACUGUAUUAGAACCUAUGAAUUGUACAAAUAUACAUUUCAGUUGUAUUAUAAUUGUUUUACAUGAAUUGUAAGUCUAGCACUUGAAUCAAACUUUAUUUAUUGGGUAAAGCGUUGCAAUUGUAUUGUUUUCUUGAUGACCUGAAUAUGCAAAUUCUGUAUCAUUCAUACGGAUGCCUUUAUAGUCCAGCAUAAAAAGUAUAAAGAAAGCAGGCCUGAGCAUGCUUGAAAUCAUUACUACUUUGCUGGCAUAGCUGGCAACAUUGCCAUUUCGCUGGUAUAGCUGUCAACAUUGCCACUUUGUUGGUAUAGCUGGCAACAUUGCCAUUUUAGUUUUACACUAAAUCAAGCUGAAAAAACAUGUGAGAAUUAAUUUAUCCUCUGAUUGUAAAUUAAUUAAAGUACAUAUUUUUCUACUUAUGAUAGUUAAUAUAAAUUCAGCAUGUUAGCACCCCCACUAGAAGUUUGUUGAAAAUAGAAAAUCAAAUUGAGGACAUUUCAUCUCCUAUACAUAAUGGAAUCUAUUUUACCCCCUUUUGAAUAGUGAAUGAUCUAGAAUUUAAACUUGAAAUCCAAAGCAUAUUCAUUUAUUCCAAUAUUUGAAAUAUGUUUUUUUCUGCUUCACCCCUUCUUGAACAGUGAAUAACAGGGAAUUUGAACAUGAAAGCAAUCGAAUUAUCAUUUAUUUCAAUAUUUGAAAUCCAUCAUUUUUUCCUGCUUUACCUCUUUUAGAACAGUAAAUAACAGGGAAUUUGAACAUGAAAGCAAUCGAAUUAUCAUUUAUUUCAAUAUUUGAAAUCCAUUAUGUUUUGUUUGGAAUAAUAUUUUCAUGAUUUAUAAUUGCCAAUUUAAGGUAUUUGUGAUUAUUUGUUAGUGUAUGUGUGUUGAAUCAUAAUAAUGACAUUGUGUAUACAUCUCUAAUUGGUAAUCAGUGUCUCCUUUUGUUUGCUUUCUAAAUUAUUUCUAUGUUUGUUGCAUAAUUUAAGCUAUUUUAGAGAUAUUUUUAUUUCCAUUAUUCAUCCCAUUGUAUAACUUUAUUUUGUAUUUUUAAUUUACAAAUUAUCAGCAUAAUUAUUUGUUUUGUAGAGUUAGUCUGGCACUGACACAUUUUUCUGUUACAGCUGAUUGCAGUGAGCAUGUAGGUAAAGAUAAUAUCUUUGGUAAGCUUGCUUGCUAGCUGAACCAUGAAGUCAUUAUUAGGUUAGGUAAUCUACCCUUCUUUAGGAAUGGACCAGUCUGACCGAUAAACAAUCUUUAGUCUUUAGUCUUUAGAACUAAACUACUUCUAAAGGAGGGUAGUAUACCUUACCUUAUAAUGACUUCACGGUCUAGCAAGCAAGCUAAAUUAAGAUGUUACAGUAAAUCUACACACUCAAAGCAAUUGGCUGUAAAGGCCCUCUUAGAAGGCUUUUUUUAAAUACAUAAGAGAAAUAUACCGGUAGUCCCAAAUCUUAAGAGAAAAAAUAUAGUCCCAACAUUUAGAGCUGUAACCAAAGAUCUCACUUAACGGAAAAGUGUAACAUUUGACAUGCACUAGGGUAAGUAUUGGCAGCUUCUGAUUAAAGUUUUAAAUAAAUACAUUAUGAUGCAUACUGUUGAUUUUUCUUCACCAAGAUUCCAUAAUAAUUAAGAGUAUUAUUUAUUUUAUUAGGGUAUAAUUUGGGUAUUUAUCUACCUUAUGUUUUUAUGUUAGAACAGCAUUUUCCUUGGUUUAUUACAUCUUAUUUUUCGUAAUUUUCAUUGAAAAAAAUGCUUGUUAAAAAAAAAUCGAUAUUCUUCAUAUUUUGCAUUGUUUAACUGAUUUUCUGUGUUGCACAAAUUCUGAUUUUUCCUUAAUAACUUUUCAUUUAUAUAAAAUUGCCAUUGAAAGAUCCAUUUCAAAACAAAAUAAACAGGAUAAAAACCAUCUGUCAAAAGUUGUUGCUUAAAUUUACAAUAUUUUCAACAUAUUUUUUUCUGAAAAGUUUGAAUAUCUUAUUGUUGGGUCUUAUCAAAUUAUAUUUAAUGAUGUCUUGCGUUGAAAAUUUCACAUUUGACCAUGAGAUUUUUUCCAUUUUAUGAACACUCAGAAAAAAUAGCACAACACAAAAUUAUGCCGUAGAAAUAGUAUCAUGUAAUCUUUUUCCUGAAAGGGACUGUGCAAUUUUACCACAGUAUUAUAUACUGUGAACUACUGAAUUAAUUUGUGUGAUCGUUUUGUCUGGUUUGAUUUGGUUGAUAAAACGUUUUUUUUUGCUUUUUUUUAAUUAGAGUUGUCUCUCUUGUAACAAGGGAAAACAUAACUCAAUAGUCCAUCAUUCAUCAGCUGAAAAAAUCAAUUACUGUAAAUUCAGAAAUUAAUGCGAGGUUUUAAUUAUUGCGAAAAAUGCAACAGAGUUGUAAACGCAAUAAUUUAAACUCGCAUUUUGAAAUAUUUUAUACGAAUUAUUAUAUAAAACAGGAUUUUUCUCAAAAUCGUAAAAAUUAAAAUUACAUUUUAGUCUUAACUGACAAAAUCGCAAUAAUAGAUGCACACAAUAAUUUCUGAAUUUACAGUAGAUUUGAGUUAGCUCCCUUUAAUCUGAGUUGUCUCCAUUCAAUCUAAUUAGGCAUUUUAUUGAGUAUUCAUCAACAAGGGCCUGUUUAAAACUGAAAACCACACAGUCAUUGUCAAAUGAAUGAAUUUGAAUGAAUGAAUCUUUAUUGCAUUAGCAACAACAUUGCUUUAGCAUAAAACAAGGUAUAUACAAAUAAAUAACAAGUCAGAUUUAUUGUAGAUUUUGAAUUUUUAAUUUGUGAAAGAAUGUUCACAAUCUUGAGAAGAAAAAAAAAUUACCAGCCUUUUGGCUUGCCUAUAAGCAUUUGAUUGAAAUCAAAAUUAUUGAAUCUCAGGAUGUUUAGAAAUAUAACAAUGCAAUAAAGUAUUACUUCAAUGCAAUGACAUUACAUUUAGUUGUUAAAUUCUCUCUCAAAUGGAGAUAAAAAAAAAAACUACAUCAUUCAGACAACACAUAAGUGAUAUUUAUAUUUUUCCUUGCUGGCUGAGAAUUUUGUUUUAAGUUUAUAAAGGAUAUGUAUAACAUGUUCAUACACAAAUAUUUCAGGUUCACAUUUAACUUGAUUAAAACAUACUGUGACACCUUUAUCCUUUUAUUUUGUAUAUCAAUAUGUGCAGUGCUAUUUUAUUGUUAUUUUGUGUAGCUAAAUGUGCAGUGCUCAUUUAUUGUUAUUUUGUGUAAUUAUUUUGUGUAGCUAAAUGUGCAGCGCUCAUUUUUCCUGUUAUUUUAUGAAGCUAUAUGUGCAGUGCUAAUUUAUUGUGUUGCUUUAUGUGUAUUACAUAUACUCAGCUUUAUUUGUAUCUAUUAUUCUGUUUAUUGAUAAGUAGAAAAUUUAAGUUAAUGUCUGUCAUAUUUGUCGUAUGAAGCUUAUUUGAGUUGACUCUCUUGUCUAAAAUCAUUUUUAUGUGUACUGGUCUAGUAAGGUCAGUUUUUAUUACCUUAAAUUGAAUGUAAUGAAAAAACUUUUAAAACAGUGUUAAAAUAUUCUCAUUGUAAUGUUUGUGACUUAUCGCGAAAAUAAUAUUUGCAUCAAACUUGUGACCGCGUGGGCUUGGUGAUCUAAGUAGAUCCUUAGACUCUCCAACUCGCUUGUGGUGAUGUGCAUACUCUAAAUUGGAAGAGAUUUAAUUUAUACAUGAGUAAAGCACAAAGUGCAUUUUACUGAAAUUUAGAAAUCUCUAACUCUUUGAGAAAUUCAAUGGGAGGUAAUCUGAAAAAAAAUCUUAUACUAUGUAGUCAUAUAUUUGUAUUGAGCCAUAAGAUAGUAUUAAAGUUUUGUUUUAAUAAUGUUUUGUAGAAUUUUAUUUUUACUUAAUUUAAUCGAAUAGAAAUCCUAUGUAUAAUACCUAUAUAUUACCUCAUUUUGGUGUGCUUUGUAAAAUAAAAGUAAUAUAUUGAUCCCUAUAUCGUUAACAUCUGUUAUAUGUCAAAUUUUAAGGGUGGUUGAAAAAUCAAUCUUUUAUUUGAUAAACUAAUUGAAUAUAUAGAUUCUUCAUUUUUGAUUUUGAUUUUUUUUUCAAGAUACAUUGAGAUAAUUUUAAAUUUUGAUUAUUUAAAAAAAAUGGAGACGGGUAAAUAUAAUUUAAUGAUUUGGUAAGAUGGUAGAGUCUGUUUCUUAAAUGAUUAAUUUUAUUCAAAAUAAACAUGGACAGAAAUCCUAUGAAACUAUAAAUGUUUUAUUGUUAAUAUAUCCAGCUGGUCAAACAGGGUUUAAAUGUACAAGGAAUUAGAGAUAAUCAGGCAAAUAUUUUAUCUUUUAUCGCUUUUCAGCCUCAUCAACAACUUUCACUAAUUUUUUCUUAAUUUCUAUUUUCUGGCCCUUUGGUUCAACUACUUUAUUUAUAUGCCUGUGUUUGAUUCUACAAAUAAUAUCAGAGAUGUAUUACUUCCAAUGCUAUAAAUAAAAACUAUUUUUUCUGCAGAUUGCCACUGGUUGUAUGAUUGUGAAAAGUUUAAAUAUUUUGUUAUCACAUCAUUUCUAUUUAUACACGAAUUGACCAUGUAAAUUCUAACAUUGUCCUACUUACACGAGUUUUUUUUUUUAAAUCUUAAAAUUCACAAUUUUCAACAUUGCAGCAACUAAUAUAUUCUUUGUUUUAUCAAAUAUCCUUGUACCACUCAUGAUACUAAUUUUUAAACUUUUUUUGUUUAAAAGAUGUCUGUAUUCAUCUCGGUAUGAUUUAUGUAACAUAAUUUCCAUUCAAAUAUAAUUCAUAUAAUCUGCAUAAUGUUACGUAAGAAUAGAGAUUGAAAGGUUAUUGCAUAAUUCCAGAUACUAACUUUUUAUUUUUAAAAAUGGUCCCUUUUACAUCUUUGUGAGUUUUGUGUGAGAUGAUCCAUCCAAACAUCAAAUUUAAUUCGUAUAUUCUACAUAUGUAAGAAGUAAUUGCAUUAUUCCUGAUACUAACUUUUUAUUAAAAAAAAAGUCCCUUAUACAUCUUUAUGUGUUUUAUGUAAAAUAAUUUCCAUCCACACAUUAAUUCAUAUUUUCUGCAUAUGUAAGAAUAAAGAUUGUAAGGUUAUUGCAUAAUUCCUAUCACUAUCUUUUGAUUUAAAAUUAGUCCCUUAUACAUCUUUGUAUAUUUUAUGUAAGAUAAUUUGCAUUCAACAUCAGAAUGAAUUCACUGUAUUCUGCAUAUGUAAGAAUAAAGAUUGUAAGGUCAUUGCAUAAUUCCUGAUACAAACUUUUUAUUUAAAAAAGUCCCUUUGUGAGGUUUGUGUAAGAUAUGCCACCCAAACAUCAGAUUUGAUUUGUAUAUUCUACAUACAUGUAUGUAAGAAGUUUUUGCAUAAUUCCUGAUACAAACUUUUUAUUUAAAAAACGUCCCUUUCUAUACAAACAUCUGAUUUAAUUCACUAUAUUCUACAUAUAUGUAUGAAUAGAGAAUGUAAGGUUAUUGCAUAUUCCAUAAAAAUAGACUUGCUAUAUUUAGUGAUGAUGUAAUAUAAUUUCACUGUGAUUGUGUGAUACGGUGUAUAUUUUAGGUCACUGUGAUUAUUGUAAUUUAGAAAUUUGAUUUUAGACAGGUUGCUUUAUGUUAUCAAAUAAAGUUUUAUUAUAUA